GAUGAACGCUGGCGGCGUGCCUAAUACAUGCAAGUCGAGCGAACGGACGAGAAGCUUGCUUCUCUGACGUUAGCGGCGGACGGGUGAGUAACACGUGGAUCCCCUACCUAUAAGACUGGGAUCACUACGGGAAACCGUAGCUAAUACCGGAUAAUAUUUUGCACCACAUGGUUCAUAGGUGAAAGACGGUCUUGCUGUCACUUCUAGAUGGAUCUGGGCUGCAUUAGCUAGUUGGUAAGGUAACGGCUUACCAAGGCAACGAUGCAUAGCCGACCUGAGAGGGGGGUAGGCGACCUUGGAACUGGGACACGGUCCAGACUCCUACGGGAGGCAGCAGUAGGGAACCGUCCGCAAUGGGCGAAAGCCUGACAGAGCAACGCCGCGUGAGUGAUGAAGGUCUUCGGAUCGUAAAACUCUGUUAUUAGGGAAGAACAGAUGUGUAAGUAACUGUGCACAUCGUGACGGUACCGAAUCAGAAAGCCACGGCUAACUACGUG
rnacentral:rRNA from 1 species